rnacentral:rRNA from 1 species
GACGAACGCUGGCGGCGUGCCUAAUACAUGCAAGUCGAGCGGACUGACUGGGAGCUUGCUCUUGUUCGGUCAGCGGCGGACGGGUGAGUAACACGUGGGCAACCUGCCCGCAAGACCGGGAUAACUCCGGGAAACCGGAGCUAAUACCGGAUAACACCGAAGACCGCAUGGUCUUUGGUUGAAAGGCGGCGCAAGCUGCCACUUGCGGAUGGGCCCGCGGCGCAUUAGCUAGUUGGUGAGGUAACGGCUCACCAAGGCGACGAUGCGUAGCCGGCCUGAGGGGGUGAACGGCCACACUGGGACUGAGACACGGCCCAGACUCCUACGGGAGGCAGCAGUAGGGAAUCUUCCGCAAUGGGCGAAAGCCUGACGGAGCGACGCCGCGUGAGCGAAGAAGGCCUUCGGGUCGGAAAGCUCUGUUGUGAGGGACGAAGGAGCGCCGUUUGAAGAAGGCGGCGCGGUGACGGUACCUCACGAGGAAGCCCCGGCUAACUACGUG